UACGUAGGGUGCGAGCGUUGUCCGGAAUUAUUGGGCGUAAAGAGCUCGUAGGCGGUUUGUCGCGUCGACUGUGAAAACCUACAGCUUAACUGUGGGCUUGCAGUCGAUACGGGCAGAACUUGAGUUCGGGUAGGGGAGACUGGAAUUCCUGGUGUAGCGGUGAAAUGCGCAGAUAAUCAGGAGGAACACCGGUGGCGAAGGCGGGUCUCUGGGCCGACAUUGACGCUGAGGAGCGAAAGCUAGGGGAGCAAACGGG
rnacentral:rRNA from 1 species